rnacentral:rRNA from 1 species
UACGUAGGGUGCGAGCGUUAAUCGGAAUUACUGGGCGUAAAGCGUGCGUAGGCGGUUCGUUAAGUUCGUUGUGAAAGCCCCGGGCUCAACCUGGGAAUGGCAAUGGAAACUGGCGGGCUGGAGUAUGGCAGAGGGGGGUGGAAUUCCGCGUGUAGCAGUGAAAUGCGUAGAGAUGCGGAGGAACACCGAUGGCGAAGGCGGCCAACUGGACGAAUACUGACGCUGAGACUCGAAAAGCGUGGGGAGCAAACAGG